rnacentral:rRNA from 1 species
AUGUUGGCAGUGCUCUCUGCUUGCUCAAACAGGGAGCCGGUAGAUGCUGGGAUGGGCUUGCUGAAGCAAAUGGAAUAUGGGAAGAUUAAGGUAGUACCAACUGUUGAACACUACAGGUGUGUGGUUGAUAUGCUUGGUAGAGUUGGUUUGGUGGAUGAGGAGCGUGCCUUGGUGGAGCACAGAAUGCUGACGGAGGCAAAUGUGGUGAUAUGGGGAACAUUGCUUGGUGCAUGUGAGAAGCGCUGCAAUGUGAAUGUUGGCAAGUGGGCGGCGGAGCAACUACUAGCGGCUGUGCCAUGGAAUGACGGGGUUUAG